rnacentral:rRNA from 1 species
AAUAUUGGACAAUGGGCGCAAGCCUGAUCCAGCCAUGCCGCGUGAGUGAUGAAGGCCCUAGGGUUGUAAAGCUCUUUCAACGGUGAAGAUAAUGACGGUAACCGUAGAAGAAGCCCCGGCUAACUUCGUGCCAGCAGCCGCGGUAAUUCGAAGGGGGCUAGCGUUGUUCGGAAUUACUGGGAGUAAAGCGCACGUAGGCGGAUCGGUCAGUUAGGGAUGAAAUCCCAGGGCUCAACCCUGGAACUACCUUUAAUACUGCUGGUCUAGAGUUCGAGAGAGGUGAGUGGAAUUCCGAGUGUAGAGGUGAAAUUCGUAGAUAUUCGGAGGAACACCAGUGGCGAAGGCGACCACCUGGGCUAAUACUGACACUGAGGUGCGAAAGCGUGGGGAGCAGAC